rnacentral:lncRNA from 1 species
UGGAGCUUGUGGAGCACUACUCUUACUGAGGAUUGCUUUCACUUGGUUUGCUGUCUGAGUGAAUAUUCUUUGUCUAUACCUGUAAACUAUGCUCCUUUUAUUUAUUUUGUUUCCUUUUAGACCUAUAUCUGCAGUUUGCUUCGUUUCAACAACCUUUGGGAACAAUGAGUGAUCGAUCUUCUCGGUCAAUCUAUGUUGGUAACUUGCCCGGCGACAUUAGGGAGUCUGAGAUUGAAGAUCUCUUUUACAAGGUUGGUUCUCGCUACCUUUUUUUUUUUACUCCGUUGAUUUUUUUGCAUGACAAUCCCAACUGUUCUAAGACAAUGUUUCUCAAUUGCAGUAUGGCCGCAUUGUUGAUAUUGAAUUGAAAGUUCCACCUCGUCCUCCAUGUUAUUGCUUUAUUGAGGUGCGCUUCGUUGUCUUAUAUUACAUUGGUCUUAACCAAAUUUACAAGAUUUAGUUAUACUUAACCAAGAUCUGUGUUGAAUGUUUGUAGUUUGAGCACCCUCGGGACGCCAAAGACGCCGUUGAUGGCCGUGAUGGCUAUAACUUUGACGGCUGCCGCUUGAGGGUAACAAAACGUUCAUUACUUCCUUACCACUUUGACACAGACAGGAUUCCAAACGUUUUUUUUUUAUUUGGUUCUCAGCUGUUUCUAAUCAUUAUGAAUGCAGGUUGAGCUUUCCCAUGGUGGGCGAGGACAGUCUUCAGGUGACCGUCGUGGUGGAUAUGGUUCAAAAUAACAGAAAUUAUUUGUUUCUUUCCACAAAAACUCAAUUGUAACUCCUCUCCUGAAGUUCUGUUUUACUCUCCUGCUUCUCGACAUCUUUUUUCUUCGUGUCUUUGUUAGUUUUAUGGGUUUGUGUUGUAUCCAUCUUUUGGCUCCGGGUGGUACAUGUUACCUCGCUGGCUCUUGGCUCUGGAAGGGUAGGUAAUGUCUCUAGCGUCUUGAUGUAAAAUGAUGUUUGAUCUAAUCUUAAUCUACCAGAUGACAAAAAAAAAAAAAACCAUUACACAAAAAGAGGAGAAAAAGGAGACUUUUACCUUUUUUUUUUUACCAUUUCUUUAGUGAAGGGGAAUUUUUUGACUCGUUAUGUAAUUUAGAGUUAUCUCUCGGUAAACAAAAUGCUUAAGGAGGUACCGAAAAAUAAAAUCGGCAGACUUGAAAGAUCACGUAAGGGUAAUGUCGGUAAUUUACAUAAGUCCAUAAAUUAAAGAAAACCCUAGAGAUAAACUGUCACGGCCAUCCAUCUCUCGAUUUCGAGUCUCUCACUUGCUUCUUCUCCGCUGCUGCUUUCUCCUGGUACGACGCCGUUCACCCCUCUCUCUCUCUCUCUGAUUGUGUUCUCUUCAAGCGUUAGGGUUUAUUCUGAAUCCAAUAGUGUUGUCUCGUGUGGUUGCUUUUCUUGAUUCAAUUGAUGGGUCUUCUUUAUACUGAAGUCUGAAUCUUAAAGUUUCGAUCUUUUUUUUAAAAAAAAUUGGUAAUUGUUAGAACGGUUUCAGAACUGUUGUAGUGGCGACACUGUUCUUAGUACCUUUACAAGGACUAUGAAAGUUGGAGGCUUUCUUUCUCCUACAUGGUUAUAAUUGAGUAACGAUGAUAGAGCAAAAUACUUGAAAGAUAUAUUGUCUGAAACAAACUGUUAUUGCGCAGUAAGAGUUGUGCUGUAUGUUUUGAGUAAAGGGAGCUGGACAAGGUAGAUGCAUUAGUCUCUAUGUUACAUCUUGUCAUGACUUAUGUUUUCUUUAUGUUAGAUGGCAUGCGCUUGGAACAUGAGCAUUGCAAUGGUUCAUAGGGAUAUAGAGAGGGAAUGGGAGAUCCAUGUGGACUUGUUUCAUUUUCAUUUUUUUUUCAUCUUUGGAGAUUCUUACUCACUUUGGGAAGAUCUGGAGAAAAAAAAAAUAGAUUUCAAUAUUUAAAAAUAGCUUUUGGAGCACAUUGGAGCAAUUAAGCAUUUUGGAGCUUGUGGAGCACUACUCUUACUGAGGAUUGCUUUCACUUGGUUUGCUGUCUGAGUGAAUAUUCUUUGUCUAUACCUGUAAACUAUGCUCCUUUUAUUUAUUUUGUUUCCUUUUAGACCUAUAUCUGCAGUUUGCUUCGUUUCAACAACCUUUGGGAACAAUGAGUGAUCGAUCUUCUCGGUCAAUCUAUGUUGGUAACUUGCCCGGCGACAUUAGGGAGUCUGAGAUUGAAGAUCUCUUUUACAAG